GACGAACGCUGGCGGCGCGCCUAACACAUGCAAGUCGAGCGAUGAAAUUUUAACCGAUCUCUUCGGAGAGAAGAUAAAAUGGAUUAGCGGCGGACGGGUGAGUAACACGUGAGAAACCUGCCUUUCACAAGGGGAUAGCCUCGGGAAACCGGGAUUAAUACCCUCUGGCACAUUUCCUUCGCAUGGAAGAAAUGUUAAAACUCCGGUGGUGAAAGAUGGUCUCGCGCCUGAUUAGCUAGUUGGUGGGGUAACGGCCCACCAAGGCCAUGAUCAGUAACCGGCCUGAGAGGGUGAACGGUCACAUUGGAACUGAGACACGGUCCAAACUCCUACGGGAGGCAGCAGUGGGGAAUAUUGCACAAUGGAGGAAACUCUGAUGCAGCGACGCCGCGUGAGCGAUGAAGGCUUUCGAGUCGUAAAGCUCUGUCCUAUGGGAAGAUAAUGACGGUACCAUAGGAGGAAGCCCCGGCUAACUACGUG
rnacentral:rRNA from 1 species